rnacentral:rRNA from 1 species
UACGUAGGGCGCAAGCGUUAUCCGGAUUUAUUGGGCGUAAAGAGCUCGUAGGCGGUUUGGCGCGUCUGCCGUGAAAGUCCGGGGCUCAACCCCGGGUCUGCAUUCGAUACAGGCAGGCUAGAGUGUGGUAGGGGAGAUCGGAAUUCCUGGUGUAGCGGUGAAAUGCGCAGAUAUCAGGAGGAACACCGGUGGCGAAGGCGGAUCUCUGGGCCAUUACUGACGCUGAGGAGCGAAAGCGUGGGGAGCGAACAGG